UACGUAGGGACCGAGCGUUGUCCGGAAUCAUUGGGCGUAAAGAGCGUGUAGGCGGCCACUUAAGUCCUGCGUGAAAUCUUGCGGCUCAACCGCAAGCGGUCGUGGGAAACUGGGUGGCUAGAGUGCGGGAGAGGAGAGUGGAAUUCCCGGUGUAGCGGUGAAAUGCGCAGAUAUCGGGAAGAACACCUAUGGCGAAGGCAGCUCUCUGGGACGGUACUGACGCUGAGACGCGAAAGCGUGGGGAGCGAACAGG
rnacentral:rRNA from 1 species